GCAUAAAAAUGAAAAAAUAAAUGUACACUAUAAUUGGUAUAUUCAGUAUGAAGUAGUACAUACAUGCUUCACAUUUGUUAAAACAAAAUUUAAUGAAUUGGUUCCCGAUUUUAAAUUUCAGGAUUUUCCGAAAGCGCGUUUACAGAGGAAAUUUAGUUUUGCCUACAGCGAAAAUGGAAGUCCACAGUAAAGAAUUGGGCAUUCUUACUGUACACUGCUACCACAAUCAAAAUUGUCUCUGAAAGGUGUUUUAGACGACUCAAUCUGAGGCAGACGAAAGCCUCAACGAAUCUUCGUAUUUCUCUGUGACUGGACAGCGCCUUACAUGCAAUCAAACUUUCCAUACACAACAUUAUGUAUUUCAGUUUCUGUCUACGGGAAAUUUUGCGCUGUCAGGCGAGAAAUUGCCGGCCCUAUUUGAGCUAGGUUUACAACAGUAUUGCUGCAUGAACAUUCUACUGUACCUCUUUUAUUGAAACCAGGCUUUCAAAGAAUUUACAUGUCGUACUAUUGAUCGAGUUCUACGUAUUCAAAGUAUUUCAAUAUGUUCCAUUCCCGUUGUCCCUUGAACAUCACUGACAUUAAACUAAAGUUAUUGAAUUGAAAAUGUAUCAAUUUUCAUUUUGGUAUACACCAUUCGAGAACUGACAUUCCAUUCACGAACAUUAAAUCCUGGAGCAAAACAUGCGAUUCAUAUCCGUUGAAUUGUCUCCCCUGCACACUCGAAUACCGUGCUUUAAGGGGGAAAAGGAAAGAAUUUCAAUGAUCAUUAGGUACUCAUCAAAAUUUCCAUACACAACAUUAUGUAUUUCAGCCGUCUACAGGAAAUUUUGCGCUAUCCGGCGUGAAAUUGCAGGCCCUUUAUGGGCUAGGUUUACAGCAGUAUUGCUGCAUGAAAAUCAUACUGUACCUGUUUUAUUGGAACCCGCCUUUAGUAUAUCAGAUGAUAUAUGUGGCAAUGCUAGCAUACUUACCUGGUACAGGGGCUACCGUGAUCAGGAACGGCGGUGCCCCCAGGUCGAGGCCUAACCAUUGCACUCCGGUCGGGCUGAACCCUGCGAUAAUCCCAAAUGCGGAUUACUCGGGUACGCUAUUUUUUAGUGUGGGGGUCUGCGUUCGCGCUAACCCCUGUU